UUCUUUCAAGCUGGACAGCUUUCUAACACAGUCAAAUGGUCCUUGUGCCUGCCGAUUAUUAUUCUCGCGACGUGCACUGUCGAGAACGAACAUCGUGUCACAUUUAGCAGUGACUCAGCACAACACGCAUGUGUGGCGUGCCUACUCGAAAUUUGGCGAUGAAAACAGUUGCAUCGUACACCUACUCUCGCGAUGUCUACGACGACUUGCACACGAUCACAUACUGCAAUAAAGAAGAAGCGAGCAAAAGACUGUACUGAAUCAGAACACGGCGAAAUGCAAAUUGGCAGCGACUGGAUGUUCUCAAACGGAUCACCAAGCAGACCGACGCAUUUCUUUGAUCGUUUUGUGAUUUACGGUACCACCCCUGAAGGAGUUGAAUUUCUUCAGAGCACUGCAACAUGAAGGCACGGUUGCGGGCUCUGGACUAUGUUUUCCUGCGGGCCAAUUCAACAGACAGCUUCUUGGAUAUUAACCAGUUAAAAGCGGAUAUGAUGGAAGUUGUUCAGCAAUCGCGCUUUAAACAACAGUGUAGUAAUGCCGGCAUGAGCGACUGGGAAAUUAAUUUUGGCCAACUCCAGCCGGGAAUCCUGCCACGAGGAUUAAUGGCUCCUUUACAAAGUAAGACUAGUUUUUCAAUGCAACAAUGACCUCUGAGACCCCUGCCGGUACUAAUUACAGUUACAUAAACGCAGUUUACGAUUUUGUAAAAUACACAAGAAUGAACAGGGAGAGAGUUCACAUUAUUUACAGUCCUGAUAGGUAAGAGAAAAUUCCCCUUCAGCCCUCAUAUUGCUCAAAAGGCUAUAAUAAGUCUGCAGUCAUACAAUGGGUAUACAAUAAUACAAGCACGUCCCGUAAUUUCUAUCGGAUUAACGCAGCGACAGAUACACAUUCACGGGUUAAGCCAAACUAAAUAGUAAGGCGCCCCCCGUCACACUAUGUAAGCUUUGUACGCAUUUGACAUGGCUGAUGCAUGCAAAAUAUCAACCAAAAUUAUAAACUAACGAUAUGAAUUAUAGAAUAUUAACAUUGCAGCUUCAACAUUAAUUUAAAUACUGAUAGGAGUAAAUUUGCCAUUAAGGCAGACGUACUGCAAAUUGAGAGGCCCAACUGAUCGGAUCGGUUUUAUUCUGAGACCUAACUGAACGUGAGCUUUAUCGAAAAAACAUUGGUACAUUGGAUAGAUGAUAGCAUGACUGCCUAAAUUGUUUGCCUGCUUUUCUGUGAGAUUGGUUGUUGAAUGUUACACUCCGUUCCCUUUUUGAGCAGCGUGAUAGGUAUGUCCAUACCUUUUGUCAUUCGCACGCGGGAGAAGAUCUUAGUCCGCGAUUUUAUCAGCGUGCUCCCGCUGCUCAAACAUACGGAUCGCUACUAUCUCGUUUCGAAAACGCGGCUCGAGAAAGAUCUCAACAUCACCGAUAUUCGUAUAGUGGGCAACCCCCCACUGAAUACGGCCUUUUCUUCCGCAUGCACCUGGAUCGUCCACUGAGCGUCCAGUGGUUGCCGCUGGUGGAAGUAGUGCAGUCGCAACUGAACAUGGGCAUGGGUAAUAGCUUCCCAGCGGAAGUGCGUCUGUGGGGCUUUGAUACGGAAAAUAGGGUUGUCAAGUUUUUUGUGCUGCUACCGUACCCGGCAUCGCCGCUAAGAGUGGCCUUGGAUGCGAGGCUCCCUUAUGCCGCCAACAUCUACCGCAAACUCGUUGGUCUGAUUGGUCUCCAGCUUCGCGUACCGCCGACUAAUGUUACCUAUACGCUGAUGACAUUUCCUUUACCCAGUUACUGGCAGGAAAUGAUUAAAGCACCAAUCUCCGCGCAAUGCCAAGAGGAUGAAGCAGGAAUUUUUUUUACCGAUUGAAGAACAGACUGAUGAAGAAAACGUUUACCUUGUACGUCGAGGGGGUAUCGUAUGUUUCACACUUACAGUACCUGCCAAACGGGUGUAUCAAGGAGAUGCCGGUAAGCUGUAAAUGUGUUCAUGCCAGUCGAUUGAACUACACCGGUCACUAAUUCUACCCUGCACAUCGGUACGCAAGCGCAAAUUGCGAUGGGUGCUCGUUACAGUUCUUACUAUUUAACUUUAUCUUCUGUACAAUUAAAUAAAUUUUUUCAAAGUAUUCUCCUUAAGUCCAUUUGCCUUAUUAUAUUCUUUACAUCUGUGUACCCGUUCAUUGUACAUCAACUUGAAAACUUAUGGUCGAGAGAAGAGAUCCUCAAGAUCGCUCUCUUCGUUAUCUUAAAAUUUUUCCUUUUAGCCGCGUUUUCGAGGUAAGCAUACACUAAAUAAUUCCAUGGCACGACCGUGGACGUUACAUACUAUCGACAUCAAAUACCGCGAUCACCUCGAAUAUUCACUUGCACCAUAAAAAGCUGUUACAUCUUGGACUAUUUCUUCGCAGAAUUCUGAUAAAAUAUUGGAUGCAAUACAGCAAGCCUUUACCGUUGCGAACAACCUGACAACGAACAAUAUCACACUAACCAUAACUGUAACGGAGCGCGAUGACAAUUUGAAAACAACCAAAGGGCGCGACGCUUCCAGAUUUACUUUUACCCUGACGUAUCCCGAAAUGCAGUGCCAGUCAGAUUUGGAACUAUGGCGCUAUCCAUCAUUCUAUGAACUAAACAACCUGUUGCAAAGCAAACUUGGACAGUCGCGGUGCCAGCUUCCAUUUAGUUCAAUUACAAAUCCCGUUUAUAGUGCUUAUAUGCCUGGAACAUAGAACUUUUGAUCGGUUUAAUUGCUCCCAGUCCACACUUUUGAUCUGUGCGAUUUGAAAAUUUGUAACGUGAAAAUUAAUCGAAAGGGUGUUAGUACGAGUCCGAACAUCAAUUGUGUAAUAUUACAGACAGCCGCAGUCCGCAGAUGAUGUUUUCGCUUUAUGUUUUCAA